rnacentral:rRNA from 1 species
GACGAACGCGGCGGCGUGCUUAACACAUGCAAGUCGAACGAAGAGCGACGGAAGCUUGCUUCUAUCAAUCUUAGUGGCGAACGGGUGAGUAACGCGUAAUCAACCUGCCCUUCAGAGGGGGACAACAGUUGGAAACGACUGCUAAUACCGCAUACGAUCUAAUCUCGGCAUCGAGGAUGGAUGAAAGGUGGCCUCUACAUGUAAGCUAUCACUGAAGGAGGGGAUUGCGUCUGAUUAGCUAGUUGGAGGGGUAACGGCCCACCAAGGCGAUGAUCAGUAGCCGGUCUGAGAGGAUGAACGGCCACAUUGGGACUGAGACACGGCCCAGACUCCUACGGGAGGCAGCAGUGGGGAAUCUUCCGCAAUGGACGAAAGUCUGACGGAGCAACGCCGCGUGAGUGAUGACGGCCUUCGGGUUGUAAAGCUCUGUUAAUCGGGACGAAAGGCCUUUCCUUGCGAAUAAGUGAAGAAAGGAAUUGACGGACCGGAAUAAA